rnacentral:rRNA from 1 species
UACAGAGGGUGCAAGCGUUGUUCGGAAUUACUGGGCGUAAAGCGCACGUAGGCGGCUUUGUAAGUUAGAGGUGAAAGCCUGGAGCUCAACUCCAGAACUGCCUUUAAGACUGCAUCGCUUGAAUCCAGGAGAGGUGAGUGGAAUUCCGAGUGUAGAGGUGAAAUUCGUAGAUAUUCGGAAGAACACCAGUGGCGAAGGCGGCUCACUGGACUGGUAUUGACGCUGAGGUGCGAAAAGCGUGGGGGAGCAAACAGG